GAUGAACGCUGGCGGCGUGCCUAAUACAUGCAAGUCGAGCGAACAGACGAGGAGCUUGCUCCUCUGACGUUAGCGGCGGACGGGUGAGUAACACGUGGAUAACCUACCUAUAAGACUGGGAUAACUUCGGGAAACCGGAGCUAAUACCGGAUAAUAUAUUGAACCGCAUGGUUCAAUAGUGAAAGACGGUUUUGCUGUCACUUAUAGAUGGAUCCGCGCCGCAUUAGCUAGUUGGUAAGGUAACGGCUUACCAAGGCAACGAUGCGUAGCCGACCUGAGAGGGUGAUCGGCCACACUGGAAGUGAGACACGGUCCAGACUCCGACGGGAGGCAGCGGUAGGGAAUCUUCCGCAAUGGGCGAAAGCCUGACGGAGCAACGCCGCGGGGGUGAUGAAGGUCUUCGGAUCGUAAAACUCUGUAUUAGGGAAGAACAAAUGUGUAAGUAACUAUGCACGUCUUGACGGUACCUAAUCAGAAAGCCACGGCUAACUACGUG
rnacentral:rRNA from 1 species